CCCUCGGCUUUGUUUGCGGUUUGGGAUAUUGAUUCAGUUGGAAGAGACAAAAGAGAAACAGAAAAACACACAACCAAACCUCUCCCUUGGGCGACAAUCAUUCGACCAGGAUUUAAAAUGUCUUCCCUGGAACUAUCUUGCAUGCUUUGCUCAAAUCUACUGAGAAAGCCAACUAAGUUUGACCUUUGACCUUUCUAGACUAAAAAGUAGACCAUUAAAAUUAGUCCAUCAAGGAUUUUUUGUCUGAUCUGGUGCUCAGACUCCAGUUAAACUUAAACUAUGGGGAUUUAGCAAACAAAUAUACGUGGCCUUGCGUGGCAGACUACAGACUUUAACACACAGCAGUGAAUUUCAUUCAGGUUUCACAGCCCACUAACUGCAGAAUAAACACACACUGACAUAUGCUGGCAAAUGUACUUCUAUUUCCAGUGUGUGUGUGCAUGCAAAUCUGCCGAGAAGUACUGCAUGUCUUAAUGAGCAUGUAUCCGGCCUCAUGUGCUGUAUAGGCACAAUGGGCUGGUUACUGACUGCUGAACAAAUCAUUUUCAGAUCCCAUAUGUCUCCUGUGGAUUUAUGAUCAUGUAUACAUAAAGACUAGAAAUGACUGUUGAGGAUAAAUCAUUAUGGACUAACAUUAUGUUGUGUAGAUGUUUUUGUGGUUUGAUGAGUUCUAUGAAGUGCACUUUGCCACCAGUACAACUGUCAGGUCUGCUCCAGCAGGCUCUGGCUAGGGCUCCUCCCUCCUUCUGUGUCUCUUCCUUUUUAGGUAUUCAGAGUGUUGUGGCAGCAGCCGCAGGUGAACAAUCAGGGGGAUCAGCUGAAGCAGGAACAGUUGGAACCUCACCCACUCCUGUGGCCGAACCAUCUGCCCCUCCCCGGACUCACCAACAACAACAGUUUUCAAGAGGACACCGGAAUUCCCUCCACCCACCGUCCAUCUUCAGUCUGGAUUUCAUUCUGCCGUCGCUGCCUCUGCCUUCAACUCCAGUCCUCAGCCCGUUACCCCCCUCCCUAGUCAGCAGUCCGUCCCCAGCAUGAGCCAGGUUGAGGUAUUAGUGUUGUUUAGUUAACGUUACCUGAGACCCUGUCAUUUUUAGUGAGCUUAGUUGCUCUUUAGCUUUGAGUCUGCGUAGUUUUUCUAGUGAGCUUAGUUGCUCUUCAGCUUUGAGUCUGUGUAGUUUUUCUAAUGAGCUUAGUUAUUUUCCCCAGUUCCUGUUUCCGGGAUCCGGCUUCUGGGAGUUGUAGUCUUUUGGUUUUUGCUC
ensembl:lncRNA